rnacentral:rRNA from 1 species
UGCAGAAUCCCGCGAACCAUCGAGUCUUUGAACGCAAGUUGCGCCCGAGGCCAGCCGGCCAAGGGCACGUCCGCCUGGGCGUCAAGC